CGAAUAUGAGCAAAAGAGUAGUAAAUGACUAAAUACUGUAAAAAUUUGCACCAGAUCAAAUUUCCCCUAGUAAAUUGGCAAAGAUGACAAAAGUUAGGAGAAUUCAGUAUUGCAGUAGUUGUGUGAAGAGAUAGUCACACCGAGGAACUGGUGGGGGAUGUACAAAUUGGUGAUCCAUUGACAUCAUCUCUUCCUGACCUGAAACACAUCAUACCAACUGAGGAUAAUGUGACCUUCAAACUCUGGCAUGGCACAGAAAAAGGCAUUCCAUGUUGGUCUUUAGGAAUCUUCUCCCCAAGAAGAAAAAGGUCAGUUAUAAAGACAUCCUUCCAGAAGAGAGGAACAUUCUGGAUCCUGCUCAGGGAGAAAGAUGAAGAUCUAGCUGAAUAUAGAAGUAAGAGGGACCAUAGCCAUACAGGCCAGGCUUCCUAACCACUGUGUUCAGGGUCUGUGUUCUAUGUGUUAACUGUGUUCUAUGACAUCUCAUGAGGAAGAGAACAAAGAAAUAAUGUUCAGACCAGUGAUACUUUUCCCAUUAAAUUAUUCCC
rnacentral:lncRNA from 1 species